CCUACGGGAGGCAGCAGUGAGGAAUAUUGGUCAAUGGCCGGAAGGCUGAACCAGCCAUGCCGCGUGAAGGCCAGGGCCCUAUGGGCGUUAAACUUCUUUUGUGCGGGAGCAAUAAUGGUCACGUGUGGCCAGACGACAGUACCUGUAGAAUAAGCUCCGGCUAACUACGUGCCAGAAGCCGCGGUAAUACGUAGGGAGCAAGCGUUAUCCGGAUUUAUUGGGUGUAAAGGGUGCGUAGACGGAGAAGCAAGUUAGUUGUGAAAUCCCUCGGCUUAACUGAGGAACUGCAACUAAAACUACUUCCCUUGAGUACUGGAGAGGAAAGUGGAAUUCCUAGUGUAUCGGUGAAAUGCGUAGAUAUUAGGAGGAACACCAGUGGCGAAGGCGACUUUCUGGACAGUAACUGACGUUGAGGCACGAAAGUGUGGGGAGCAAACAGGAUUAGAUACCCUUGUAGUC
rnacentral:rRNA from 1 species